CACUGACACUGAGGUGCGAAAGCGUGGGUAGCAAACAGGAUUAGAUACCCUGGUAGUCCACGCCGUAAACGAUGUCGACCAGCCGUUGGGUGCCUAGCGCACUUUGUGGCGAAGUUAACGCGAUAAGUCGACCGCCUGGGGAGUACGGCCGCAAGGUUAAAACUCAAAUGAAUUGACGGGGGCCCGCACAAGCGGUGGAGCAUGUGGUUUAAUUCGAUGCAACGCGAAGAACCUUACCUACUCUUGACAUCCUGCGAACUUGUGAGAGAUCACUUGGUGCCUUCGGGAGCGCAGAGACAGGUGCUGCAUGGCUGUCGUCAGCUCGUGUUGUGAAAUGUUGGGUUAAGUCCCGUAACGAGCGCAACCCUUGUCCUUAUUUGCCAGCGGGUAAUGCCGGGAACUCUAAGGAGACUGCCGGUGACAAACCGGAGGAAGGUGGGGACGACGUCAAGUCAUCAUGGCCCUUACGAGUAGGGCUACACACGUGCUACAAUGGCCGGUACAAAGGGUUGCGAGCUCGCGAGAGCCAGCUAAUCCCGAAAAGCCGGUCUCAGUCCGGAUCGGAGUCUGCAACUCGACUCCGUGAAGUCGGAAUCGCUAGUAAUCGUGAAUCAGAAUGUCACGGUGAAUACGUUCCCGGGCCUUGUACACACCGCCCGU
rnacentral:rRNA from 1 species